ACUCAGCUUGAAAGCAUUAGGUCAGCCCACAAUGCAAUGUGGUGGCCUGCAGGAUUUCUUCCAGGCAACAACACAACAGAGGAGGUUGGUGAAGUUUUGUUCCCACCUGUGAUUCCUUAAAGCACACAGUUCUACUUUAGGUCAGGGAUCUUGCCAGGAUCUCAGAUGCAGGCAGAGUUUCCACACAGCCACUGAACAGUAGGCAGAGAAGACAGAAAGAGUCAGAGUUGAGGACUCUUGGGGACUCACAAAGGCGUCUCACUCCUAAAAGCCUGGCUGCAGACACAGGCCAAGAGCCGUUGAGAACUUGUCGCCUAGCAACGCGUGACCAGCUAAUAAAGGGGAGUUGGAGGCUUUUCAUUUUCCCAGACUGCAGGAGUCUACUAACCACGCAUGAUCGCUAAUGGCAUGGGACUCAAACUUCCUGUGGAGUUCAACCCCCUGGAAACACGAAAUGAAUGCUUCAUUAAUCCUUGCUUUGAACCGGUUAGGACUAGGAGUUUUCUAUUUACCCUUCAAUCUUCACAGAAUUCACUGUUGCUGCCCAGGUCUUUGGUACUGGUACUGCACGCAUGGAAAAGUUGACUUGAGGCUACCUCUCCACUCCAGCUCCAUUCCAACUUUUGAACACUCAGGAAGAAGGCCUUAAAGUGGAUCACCAAGACAUGAAUGCCAUGGAAAAGCAUCAGCCACAAAGGAGGUGAUUCCGGGAUCACGUGCACCGUAUACCAGCGUCUGGGACCCGAGUCCUCAGGAAAAUUGAUGGUUUUAUUAAUGGGCAUUGGUGCCAUUUGAUGAUUAUCACACAAAGGGCCUCAAAAAUACACCCCACCAGUUUGUAUAAAUACAAAAGUAGGUCUUACCGAGAACAAAACUUGCUAAUGGCAGUCUACCAGGGCACACAUGAUCCCCUGAGCCAUCAAGGUCCCAAAUAGAGCUAUACCUAGACAAGGCGUAACUGGAUGCAAACACAGUGAAAAAGGCUCCUUGAGUGCGCUCCUCCUUAUAUUUAUUGGACAUAUCUAGACCGGUGUGGCACAGGAGCUUUCUGACUCCAGACAGGAGGCUGUUAGAAGAGUCUCUGGUACUCAGUAGCCAGUUUGUGAGGCCAUUAAGAGGGAGGAGAAACUGCACCUCUAGAGCCCUAUAGAUUUAUUUCUUUAAUGUUAGUCUGCAGAAGAACCACUACCCACUGCAAAUCUUAGCUGAAAAAAAACAAUAA